CAAGUUCUUAAGCGGAAGGAAUGAAGUACUUUAAAUUUAUGGAGAAACAAACUGCUAGCACCUGAUUUUGAUUUUAAGGUAAGAUAGUUUUGUGGAUGACUAUGCCAGAAAGUAACUUGUAGUUUAACAUCUAAUAGAUUUAGAAAGUAUCUCCAAGAAUGGAGAUUCUAACUCAAAUAUUGUAACUGAGUUGAAAUUGACAUGAAAUAAUGACUACUCAGGUAGUCUAAUCAGCAGAUUAAUUUGGAAAGCUCAGAAUUUGAUUUAUAGUCCAUUCUGCAGAAUCUAAGGAAUGAGGCAGGAAAGUGGGCUCUUGAGAGUAGUGAAAUAGUAUCGCUUCCACACUUACCAGCUUUCAGAAAUUUUGGUUCUGGGGCCACUGUAGUGGUAGCACAGUGGUGGGGUGUUUGCUUUACCUGUGCCUGACCCAGAAAGAACAAACGUUUGAUCCCCUGCGUCCCAUAUGGUCCCCCAAGUCAAGAGCCAUUUCUGAGCGCAAAGCCAGGAGUAACUGCUGUGCAUUGUACUUAUUUUUAAAAACAGGGUCCGGAACAAUCAGCAUCGGGUAGGGCAUUCAGUAUUUAUUAGCCUUCUUUGCAGAUAACCUGGGAUCAAUCCCCAGCAUUCCAUAUGGUCCCCUGAGCACUGGUGGUGUGAUCCCAAAACAAACAAAGGCAAAAUAUAUGGUUAGAGAAGUUACUUAAAUAGAUGUCCCAAACUGAGGAAAUAGCUAAAUCAAAGUAAAGGCUUAACCUAAAAGAUGAGUGGUGGUACAAUUUUACAAAGUGGUUAGGACAUACAAAUAAUGUCAUCAAUGUUUUGGUACAGCAAAACGAUGACUGGAAAUCAACAGGUUAAAUUAUUAAAUUGACCUGUUAACACUGAUGUGAUUUACAUUUUUAAAGGGUUUAAACUACAAAAGAUGUGUGUCCUACAAAGCCUAAAAAUCUGGCAUUUUAUGGAGAUGUUUGGUGUCCCAUGUUUUACAUUGUUCCCAGAUGAUCAUGUAAGAAGUCUCUUAAAUAUAAGUUUCAAGUAACAAUCAUC